rnacentral:rRNA from 1 species
GUGCCAGCAGCCGCGGUAAUACGUAGGGUGCGAGCGUUGUCCGGAAUUACUGGGCGUAAAGAGCUCGUAGGCGGUUUGUCACGUCGUCUGUGAAAUCCUAGGGCUUAACCCUGGACGUGCAGGCGAUACGGGCUGACUUGAGUACUACAGGGGAGACUGGAAUUUCUGGUGUAGCGGUGGAAUGCACAGAUAUCAGGAAGAACACCGAUGGCGAAGGCAGGUCUCUGGGUAGUAACUGACGCUGAGGAGCGAAAGCAUGGGUAGCGAACAGGAUUAGAUACCCUG